rnacentral:rRNA from 1 species
AUUGAACGCUGGCGGCAGGCCUAACACAUGCAAGUCGAACGAGUGGCGUGCGGGUGACUAAUGUCUGGGAAUCUGACUGAUGGAGGGGGAUCACUACUGGACACUGUUGCUACUACCGCCUUGCUUCGGAUGUGCCCGGAUGGGAUUAGCUAGGGGGUGGGGUAACGGCUCACCAAGGCGACGAUCCCUACCUGGUCUGAGAGGAUGACCAGCCACACUGGAACUGAGACACGGUCCAGACUCCUACGGGAGGCAGCAGUGGGGAAUAUUGCACAAUGGGCGCAAGCCUGAUGCAGCCAUGCCGCGUGUGUGAAGAAGGCCUUCGGUUUGUAAAGUACUUUCAGCGGGGAGGCGUUACCCGCAGAAGAAGCACCGGCUAACUCCGUGCCAGCAGCCGCGGUAAUUC